GAAACAACACAAUGAGCCACAGAUCCGAAACGCCAACAUCAAAUCCUAACAGAUCCGAAACGUGUUUAACAGAUCUGAAACAGAUUCGUUUGACAAACUUACCAAUUCACUUCCUUUAACAUAUCCAAAACGCGUUCUGCAGGAAAAAUCUCAACAAAUCGGUAUCGAUUUAAAGGUUCUGGUUAAGUUUUUUAUUUCAAUUUUCUGGUUUGAUUUCUACUUCAAUGGUUGUUCGAUUUAUGCUUCAACUCCAUUCGAUUUUAGCUUCUACUUCGUGUUUGAUUUCAACUUUUGGGUGGAUUGUUCGAUUGAAGCUUGUGGUGUCGAUUUCAACUUCUCUGUUAUUGACAAAAUCCCCAAAUCUAAGACUUUAGGGUUUCAGUUUCUUAUUUAUAAUUUAACAAUUUUUUUGUAAUUUUAAGGUUUCAAUUCCUUCCAUUCACUUGUGUAAGAUGUGGUGUGAUAAAUAUUGAAGCAUUACAUACUGGUAAAUGACAAUAUGGUUGAUGAUGAAAUCAUUUGUGUACAAAACCAUUAUUUAUUCAGAAGAAUUGGUGCUUAUGUUCAUCCAAUUCUGCCUCGACGUAUUUGAUGAUGAAGAUUAGGAUGAAGAUGGAGAAGAAGAUGAAGAAAUGUAAGAAAAAAAUUAGAUUUGGUGUAUAAACCUGCAUCAUCCAAGGCUUCCUUUUAAAACAAAAGAUC
rnacentral:lncRNA from 1 species